UAAAAAGCUCGUAGUUGGAUCUGUGUAUCGGACGGUCGGUUCGCCGCUCGCGGCGUUUAACUGACCGGUCCGGACGUCCUGCCGGUGGGCGGCUUGGCCCUUCGCGGGGCCGGUCGCCCGUUAACCUUCCCUCCGGGCUGCUCUUAACCGAGUGGCGCGGUGGGCCGGCACGUUUACUUUGAACAAAUUUGAGUGCUCAAAGCAGGCCUCGAGUCGCCUGAAAACUGUGUGCAUGGAAUAAUGGAAUAGGGCCUCUUCUCUAUUUUGUUGGCUUUUCUGAGAUAGAGGUAAUGAUUAAUAGGGACAGACGGGGGCAUUCGUAUUGCGACGUUAGAGGUGAAAUUCUUGGAUCGUCGCAAGACGGACGGAUGCGAAAGCGUUUGCCAAGAAUGUUUUCGCUAAUCAAGAACGAAAGUUAGAGGUUCGAAGGCGAUCAGAUACCGCCCUAGUUCUAACCAUAAACGAUGCCAGCCAGCGAUGCGCCGACGUUCCUCCGAUGACUCGGCGCGCAGCUUCCGGGAAACCAAAGCUUUUGGGUUCCGGGG
rnacentral:rRNA from 2 species